rnacentral:rRNA from 1 species
CAGUUAAAAAGCUCGUAGUUGGACCUCUGGCCGGAGCAACGAGGCCACUCCGCAAGGAGCGAGCGCUCUGUCGCCUCCGGCCAUCCUUGGGAAGAGCGGCCCUGGCAUUAGGUUGUCGGAGUCGGGAUUCCCAUCGUUUACUGUGAAAAAAUUAGAGUGUUCAAGGCAGGCUUAACGCCGUGAAUACAUUAGCAUGGAAUAAUGAGACAGGACCUUGGCGGUCUAUUUUGUUGGUUUGCGCGCCAAGGUAAUGAUUAAUAGGGAUAGUUGGGGGUAUUCGUAUUCAAUUGUCAGAGGUGAAAUUCUUGGAUUUAUGGAAGACGAACUACUGCGAAAGCAUUUACCAAGGAUGUUUUCAUUAAUCAAGAACGAAAGUUAGGGGAUCGAAGAUGAUUAGAUACCAUCGUAGUCUUAACCUUAAACUAUGCCGACUCAGGAUCCGCCCUCGUUUUUCCACGACUGGCCGGGCACUGUAUGAGAAAUCAAAGUCUUUGGGUUCCGGGGGGAGUAUGGUCGCAAGGCUGAAACUUAAAGAAAUUGACGGAGAAGCACCACCAGGAGUGGAGCCUGCGGCUUAAUUUGACUCAACACGGGG